GACGAACGCUGGCGGCGUGCUUAACACAUGCAAGUCGAACGGUGAACCCGCUUCGGUGGGGGAUCAGUGGCGAACGGGUGAGUAACACGUGGGCAACCUGCCCCCGGCUCUGGGAUAACUCCAAGAAAUUGGGGCUAAUACCGGAUAUGACCGCUGACCGCAUGGUCUGGUGGUGGAAAGAUUUAUCGGCUGGGGAUGGGCCCGCGGCCUAUCAGCUUGUUGGUGGGGUAGUGGCCUACCAAGGCGACGACGGGUAGCCGGCCUGAGAGGGUGACCGGCCACACUGGGACUGAGACACGGCCCAGACUCCUACGGGAGGCAGCAGUGGGGAAUAUUGCGCAAUGGGCGGAAGCCUGACGCAGCGACGCCGCGUGGGGGAUGACGGCCUUCGGGUUGUAAACCUCUUUCAGCAGGGACGAAGCCGCAAGGUGACGGUACCUGCAGAAGAAGCACCGGCCAACUACGUGCCAGCCGCCGCCGUAAUAC
rnacentral:rRNA from 1 species